UUCGACCUCAAAUCAGGUAGG
rnacentral:rRNA from 1 species